UACGGAGGGUGCAAGCGUUAUCCGGAUUCACUGGGUUUAAAGGGUGCGUAGGUGGCUUUGUAAGUCAGUGGUGAAAUAUGGCAGCUCAACUGUCAAGGUGCCAUUGAUACUGCAGAGCUUGAGUACAGAUGAGGUAGGCGGAAUUGACGGUGUAGCGGUGAAAUGCUUAGAUAUCGUCAAGAACACCUAUAGCGAAGGCAGCUUACUAGGCUGUAACUGACGCUGAGGCACGAAAGUGUGGGGAUCAAACAGG
rnacentral:rRNA from 1 species